AGUUUUGCAGGAUUGCAUCCGGCUUUAUUACAACAUGCUGUGCAAAUCCAUGCAAAACUCG
rnacentral:pre_miRNA from 1 species